AUUGAACGCUGGCGGCAGGCCUAACACAUGCAAGUCGAGCGAGCGGCGGACGGGGGAGUAAUGUAUGGGGGCUGCCCGAUAGAGGGGGAUAACUACUGGAAACGGUAGCUAAUACCGCAUACUAUCGGAUAACCCAUAGGGGAUUAGCUAGUAGGUGGGGGAAUGGCUCACCCAGGCGACGAUCCCUAGCUGGUCUGAGAGGGUGAUCAGCCACACUGGGACUGGGACACGGCCCAGACUCCUACGGAGGGAGGAGUUGGGAAUAUUGGACAAUGGGCGCAAGGCUGAUGCAGCCCAGGCGCGGGUAUGAAGAAGGCCCUAGGGGUUUAAAGUACUUUCAGUCGGGAGGCGGUACCGACAGAAGAAGCACCGGCUAACUCCGGGCCAGCCGCCGCGGUAAUUC
rnacentral:rRNA from 1 species